GGGGGACGAUUCUCUCUCACACUCGGUCUGGCUAGCUGCUGGGGUGUACUGUAGCAAUCAGCGCUCCCGAGCAAGAACUCAAUACAACCACAAAGCAGGAGUAGGGUUUUACGCAUCCGUGCGGCCCGAACCUGGGUAAACCGAUCGCGUUGCUCAUGCGCUUUGCCUCGAUCUGCUCUUCGUGAACUCUCCGCCCCCCUGCCGAACCGAAAGGGGCCUCGGUCCGCCGUGGUCCCAUAGGUGUUCGUGGGAUCAGCACCCCCGACAUCUUUGGCGCGCCAGGUAGGGGGUGCGUCGAGGUUGUGUGAAUCUGAUCCGGCGUUCGCACGAGCCGAAUCUUCAUCAUCUUCAUCAACAUGCCGCCGAAGAAGAAGGCUUCGGAGGCAGCUGCUCCGUCCGCGCCGAGCCCACCACCGCAAGGGCGAACGGCUGGUGGAGUAGACGCCGGCGGGAGAACGGGCGCCGACGAGGAGGCCCAUGGUGCUGCCAGGUCCAAGGACAAGACUGCGCUGCACAUCGGCGGCGCAGUCGACUCCCACAACGACCGAGCGCACUCCAAGACCUCGGCGUCCGUACACGCACUGCGCCCAUCUCAGGAGGCGCGGGACCAGCAACGUCAUGGUACUCACGGUACCAUACGUUUGCUGGGCGAAGAUCAAGCUGGCGGAUCCCGGAGUCCUCAAGACCAGCAUGCACGCCAACGUGCUGGCGCGAGCGGGGCACGGUCGCCUGGACAAGAUACUGCUCCUUCUAACGUAGUUAGAAGUCCGAGCAUAUCCCGUUCAUCGCGCCGUUCGCCGCCACCGCCCGCCACUCCGGCAGAAGCUUUGGCACGAGCUCAACUGCUCCUAAAUUACCCUCCAGUGCCAAAGAAGAUCGAUGACUGGAGGGCCACUAUCCAGAGCCUCAUCGGCUUCGCCAACGGCGACAACCCACGGAAGCCGAGCGCAUCGCAACCGCGGCAAGUCAGUCAGGCGCGAGCCGGUGGCGACAAGACCGGGGAGGGUGCAACCACUGUGCACUCUCCGCCUCGGAGGCCAAGAUCGCCGACUCGUCGGAUCCACCACGACAGCGAUUCCACCGCGUCAUCAGAUCCGCGAGCUUGUCACGAUCAGCGCCAAGUUCUCCACGAACGACAGCAAGAAGACGCUCGAACAUGCAUCGAGCGCCGAAGAGAAGCGCGGCGUCAAUCAGACCUGCACGCUGGGCCCUCUGUCGAUAUGCAUGCGCCAGGGGAACCAGGUGACUUGCCGUACGCGGUAGGUUGCCCUGCGUUUACACGUGAGCUGCGGCAAGUCCAGUGGCCCAGCCAGAAGAACUUCAAGCCAGACGUACCGGAGAAGUACGACGGCGAGUCGCACCCAUCAGAGUUCCUCAGCAUCUACACCAUUGCGGUGCAAGCCGCCGGGGGGCGAGACGAAAAGGUUCUUGCCAACUACUUCCCGCUGGUGCUCAAGCCCGAAGUCAUGUCCUGGCUCAUGCACUUGCCGGACAACUCCAUAUCCUCUUGGGCGGACUUGUGCCAUUAGUUUGUCGGUGCCUUUACAGGCGGCCACAAACCUCAUGGCCAGGAAAGUGAUCUUCACUUGCUCGCCCAGAGGGAAGGAGAGCCCCUGCGCAAGUAUAUCCAGAGAUUCAGCCGUGUACAGUGCAACAUCCCAGAUAUCCAUCCUGCCGCGGUUAUCAGUGCGUUUCAUCAGAACGUGCGUAAUCGCAGGAUGCGGGAGGAGAUGGCGAUGAGCAGGAUCAGAGACGUUAGUGAGCUAUAUGCCCUGGCCGACAAGUGCGCACGCGCUGAGGAAGGGAGGAAACUCCUCGGAGAAACUACAGGAGCAGGAGGAUCUGACAGUGAGGAUGCCACCCCGGCAAAGAAAAACCGGCGGCGCAACAGGAAGAAGAAGGGUAAAGAGGUGCUUGUCAUUGAGCAGUCCGGCAACGACGGUGGCGCCAAGCAAGUCAAAGUUGGUAGCUCCGGCAAGGAGGUUGCCGCAUGCACCAACUGCCAGGCUAUGGCAGCUGCCGACAAGCAGGACGGCACCGACAAGCAGUAUUGCAAGAUCCACCGCACCAAGGGCCAUGACCUCCAGAGCUGCAAGAAAGUCGAGCAGCUUGUCCAGCAACAAAAAGCUGAGUAUGAGCGGCGCGACAAGGAGAGGGCCCAAGGAGGCGGUGGAGAGCCCGGUAAGAAACGCGCCGGCCGGGGAGGACGCCGCGGCAAGGCCAAGCAGUGGCAAGGAGACAGACCUCCCCGCGGCCGCGACAAGGAUGAAGACGAAGACGACGAUGAAGACAUGGAUGAUGUUGAGAACAGUGAGCAGGAGUUUCAGAAAGCUACAGAAGUCUUGUGUGUUGACGGCAGUGCUUCUCUGCAUACUUCCCGCCGCCAACUCAAACAGUGGCUACGGGAAGUUAAUGCAGCAAAGCCACCUGUCGAAUCGCACAAGCUUCUGAAAUGGUCCAGCACGCCUAUCAUCUUUGACAUUGAGGACCACCCUGAUCGCACAACUGCGGUCGGGUGCUUGCCGCUGUUGGUUUCGCCAACCAUCCGCAACCUCAAGGUCACAAAGAUGCUAGUUGACGGCGGGGCCGGCUUGAACCUGAUCUCCUCCGUUAUACUCCAGAAACUCCAGAUCCCUGACAGCGAGCUCAAAGAGACCGACACAUUCCAAGGAAUUAACCCGGGAAGGAGCAAGCCGAAAGGGAAGGUCACGUUGCCGGUCACAUUUGGCAGCGAGCUGAAUUUCAGGACUGAGAGGGUCACUUUUGACGUUGCCGAUUUUCCAUUGCCUUACAAUGGGAUACUUGGCCGUCCAGCACUCGCCAAGUUCAUGGCAGCCUCUCACUAUGCAUAUAACAUGCUCAAGAUGCCAGGCCCGAUAAGCAUCAUCUCUGUCCCUGGCAACAAGAAAGACGCUCUUAUCUGCGCUGACAAGAUCUACCGGGAAGCAGUAGCCGUAACAGAUAGCAAGAUACUUGCCGCUGAAGCUCCCGGGGGGAAGAAGAAGACCAAGUCCGGCAAGAGCUCUGAUGCCCACUCCAGCAAGUGCACCUCCUCGGAGUGCUGCGCUGCCGUCGAGGAAGCACCAUCGAGCUCCACCGGCAAGUGUAAGAAGGCAAUGGCAGCUCCACCACAUACCAAGAAGGUGUCCGCCAAGGAGGACGGCACUGGUGGUACCUUCACCAUCAGUGCCACGCUUGACCCUAAAUAGGAAAGCGCGCUCGUUACUUUCCUACGGGCGAACGUCGACGUGUUUGCAUGGCAGCGUCUGACAUCCCUGGUGUUCCCAGGAAAGUAAUUGAGCACCAUCUUGCCGUUUGUCCUCAUGCGCGGCCCGUCAAGCAGAAGGUCAGGAAACAAGCAGUGGAGCACCAAGAAUUCAUAGCAGAAGAAAUCAAGAAAUUGGAAGCAGCAGGCCUUGUCAGAGGAGUGCUCCAUCCCACGUGGCUGGCCAAUCCUGUAGCCGUGCGCAAGGCGAAUGGAAAAUGGAGGCUUUGUAUUGACUUUACUGAUGUUAAUAAAGCUUGUCCCAAAGACCCAUUUUCUUUGCCGCGCAUUGACCAGAUUGUUGACUCCAUAGCCGGAUGUGAUUUUCUUUCAUUUCUUGACGCAUAUUCAGGAUACCAUCAGAUCUUGAUGGCAGAAGAGGAUGAGGAGAAAACAGCAUUCAUUACUCCAUGUGGCACGUACUGUUUCAUAUGGAUGCCCUUCAGAUUAAAGAAUGCUGGUUCAACAUUUGCAAGAGUAGUCCAUGUCGCUCUGAAACCGAAAAUUCACAGAAAUGUAGAAGUUUACAUGGAUGACAUAGUGGUCAAGAGCAAAGACAGGGCAACUCUGAUUCAAGAUUUGGAAGAAACCUUUGCAAAUCUGCGCAAGAUCAACCUCAAGCUCAACCCCGAGAAGUGUGUGUUUGGAGUCCCUUCUGGCAAGCUUCUCGGGUUCUUUGUGUCUCAGCGGGGAAUUGAAGCCAAUCCCGACAAGAUCAAGGCCAUCGAGCAGAUCGAAGCACCGAAGCGCGUCAAGGAUGUACGAAAACUUGCCGGCUGCGUGGCUGCUCUCAGCAGGUUUAUCUCUCGGUCUGCUGAGCGCGCCCUGCCGUUUUUCAAAAUUUUGAAAAAGGCAGGUCCAAUGAAAUGGACUCCGGAAGCGGAGGCUGCGCUGCAGGACUUGAAGAGAUACCUGUCCUCCACCCCAACACUUGUCACACCUAAGCCACAAGAGAAGUUGCUGCUAUAUAUAGCGGCAACCAAUCAAGUGGUUAGUGCUGCGUUAGUGGCGGAGAGGAAGGCUGAUGACGAGCCAGCAAUCGCGGCAAGCGCAUCCUGCGACAAGUAGGGGGCUUCCCUGACAAGCUCUGGUCCCGACAAGGAUGGAUCUGCACAGGCAUGCGAAGAGGUGCAAAAGAGAAUGGUGCAGCGCCCAGUCUACUUUGUCAGUUCCCAUCUGCAGGGGGCUAGGUCAAGGUAUUCUGGUGUGCGGAAGUUGCUUUUCGGCCUUCUUAUGGCCUCGAGGAAGCUGCGCCAUUACUUCCAGGCACAUGAGAUCACAGUUGUCACUCGCUUUCCGCUGAAGAGGAUACUGCAGAAUCCAGAAGCGACAGGCAGGAUUGUCGAGUGGGCAUUGGAACUGUCAAGUUUUGGCCUCAACUUUGAGAGUACUUCAACUAUCCAAAGCAGAGAAUUGGCAGAAUUCAUAGCAAAGUGGACGCCAACACCAGACGAAGAAAUUACGGAGACGAGCAUCCCCGCCAAGGAAACAAACAAAGAGUGGCUCAUGUACUUUGACGGUGCCUUCUCGCUGCAAGGCGCCGGUGCUGGUGUGCUGCUCAUCGCACCCACCGGAGAGCACCUCAAGUACGUAGUCCAGAUGCACUUUCCCAAGGAGCAAGCGACAAACAAUACUGCAGAGUAUGAAGGCUUGCUUGCCGGCCUCAGGAUCACGGCAGAACUUGGGAUUAAGAAGCUCAUUGUCAGGGGUGACUCGCAGCUUUUCAUCCGCCAAGUAAACAAGAAUUAUCAGAGUCCGUUAAUGGAAGCUUAUGUUGACGAAUUGAGAAAGCUAGAAGAGCACUUUGACGGCCUGCAAAUGGAGCAUGUUCCAAGAGCUCAGAACGAUAUGGCCGAUGGCCUGUCAAAGUGCGCCGCACUUAAGUUACCUGUGGAACCAGGGAUUUUUGUGCUCAAGAUGACUCAACCGUCCGUAACGCCGCCAACUGGACAGAGCAAGAAGAGGAAGUUGAUUUCUGGUGACUAUUUUCUGGCAGAGCUUCCCGAAGCCGCCGCCAAAAAGGUCCCCAAGAUCAACACCAACAGUGCUGAGGAGUAGUCUGCUCCGGCAAGCCCCAGGGUUUGUUCCGUUGAAGCAGACGCUCCCGACAAGUUUUGCUCCGGCAAGCUUGCCGGGGACGUCAAGCUUCGGCAGAGCCACAGGCUCUUGCUGUAGAAGCGGAUGUUCCCGCAGCAGCAGGUGUGCCUUUAGUCCUUGUUGUCGCGCAACAGGCUCCAACAUGGGCACAGCAGAUUGUCUGUUUCCUUCAGACAGGAGAACUUCCCGAAGAACAAGAAGAAGCGGAAAAAGUAGCCCAGCAGUCUAGUAUGUACCAGUUUGUCGAUAACACACUGUGCAGAAGAAGACUCAACGGUGUGAAAUUGAAGUGUAUUCCCCGGGAAGAUGGACAAAAGCUGUUGGCAGAGAUACAUGGAGGCAUAUGUGGUCACCACAUUGGCGCAAGAGCACUUGUCGGCAAAGCAUUCCGGCAAGGUUUCUUCUGGCCGACAGCCCUCCAGGAUGCAACUGCACAAGUAACCAAGUGUGAAGCGUGCCAGUUCCAUUCCAAGCAGAUACACCAGCCAGCUCAAGCUCUCCAAAUGAUCCCUUUAUCCUGGCCAUUUUCGGUCUGGGGGCUCGACAUCCUCGGCCCCUUCCCCCGAGCUGUCGGGGGCUUUGAGUACUUGUACGUUGCGGUCGACAAGUUCACAAAGUGGCCGGAAGUGGAGCCAGUGAGGAAGGUGACAGCACAGUCAGCAGUCAAGUUCUUCAGGUCGAUUGUUUGCCAUUUCGGGAUCCCUAACAGGAUAAUCACCGACAAUGGUACGCAAUUUACGAGCCGCACCUUCAUGCAGUAUGUCCAAGAUCUUGGCGCCAAGGUCUGCUUCGCUUCUGUUGCUCACCCGAGAAGCAACGGUCAAGCGGAGAGGACAAAUGCUGAAGUGCUGCGCAGGCUCAAGACCAGAACUUUCGACAGGCUGCACAAGUGCGGAAGAAACUGGAUCGAGGAGCUGCCGGUGGUUCUUUGGUCGAUCAGGACGACGCCGAAUCGAGCCACUGGCCAGACACCCUUCGCUCUAGUCUAUGGAGCGGAGGCAGUUCUCCCACGGAACUCGUAUACGGGUCACCUCGAGUGCUCGCUUAUGAUGAGCUUGAGCAAGAGCAGCUGCGGCAAGAUGACGCGCUGCUCCUUGAGGAAGACCGUCUUCAGGCUGCUGUGCGAGCUGCUCGCUACCAGCAAGCUUUGCGCCGCUACCAUAGCCACAAAGUUAAUGCCAGAAGUCUCGAGGAAGGCGACCUUGUUUUUUGGCGCUUUCAGUCCGCCAAGAAUUCAAACAAGUUGACGCCGAAGUGGGAAGGCCCUUACCGGGUGAAGCGAGUCACUAGGCCUGGCGCUGUCCGCCUAGAGACCGAAGAUGGUGUACCAGUGAGCAACUCCUGGAAUAUUGAGCAUCUUUGCAAGUUUUACCCGUAGGGCGCGGUUGCCACCUUUUGUACAAGUCUUGCCGUUGUUGCAUGUAAUCCUUUGUACAAAGCCGGGCGCAGACCCCGUGCAUAAAAAUCAAGUGCUCAGCACACCUUGUCGAUUUUCAUGCUUUUUAUUAUUUGCGUGUGUUAUCUAACACUUUGUGCAGCACUUACACCCGGUGAGCAACAACGAGCAUUAAGGCUCCAUAGCUUUUUCUCCUUCUUCUUUUUUCUCUCAAGGAAAGGAAGGUUCUCUCGCGCACANNNNNNNNNNNNNNNNNNNNNNNNNNNNNNNNNNNNNNNNNNNNNNNNNNNNNNNNNNNNNNNNNNNNNNNNNNNNNNNNNNNNNNNNNNNNNNNNNNNNNNNNNNNNNNNNNNNNNNNNNNNNNNNNNNNNNNNNNNNNNNNNNNNNNNNNNNNNNNNNNNNNNNNNNNNNNNNNNNNNNNNNNNNNNNNNNNNNNNNNNNNNNNNNNNNNNNNNNNNNNNNNNNNNNNNNNNNNNNNNNNNNNNNNNNNNNNNNNNAGAAGAUACGGUAUGGACCAGGCGUCGUUCAAGAAGGUUUCACCUUGCCGGGAAGAAAACAACAGAAAAGAUAAGUUUGCCAAAUUUUGAGCAAUCAGAUUCUUAAAUUUAUAGAGUUAUACUCCUUGAACGACCGUCCUUUGUAUGGAAAACCUGUGCGCGGAGGAACCAACUCGUAGCUAGUUGCGCCCUUACUGUUGUUUUGAGUCCGCUCAACAACUUAAGUGAGCCACGACUAGCUCUACGACAAGGUUUCUUGUCGGCCGCGGCACCGCCAGCAGGCUACUGACGUUCCGCACUCAGCGCUCGCGGCAAAGGUACCCGCGCCGGCAAGUUCCCUAAAAGCGUAGGGUAAAAACAUACAAGGGAAGGAAUGUUGGGGAACGUAGCAGAAAUUCAAAAUUUUCCUACGUGUCACCAAGAUCUAUCUAUGGAGAAACUUGCAACGAGGGGAAGAAGAGUGCAUCUACAUACCCUUGUAGAUCGCUAAGCGGAAGCGUUCAAGAGAACGGGGUUGAUGGAGUCGUACUCGUCGUGAUCCAAAUCACCGAUGAUCCUAGCGCCGAACGGACGGCACCUCUGCGUUCAACACACGUACGGAGCAGCAACGUCUCCUCCUUCUUGAUCCAGCAAGGGGGAAGGAGAGGUUGAUGGAGAUCCAGCAGCACGACGGCGUGGUGGUGGAAGUAGCGGGAUUCCAACAGGGCUUCGCCAAGCGCUGCGGGAGGAGGGAGAUGUGUCACGGGAGGGAGAGGGAGGCGCCAGGGCUCAGGUGCGGCUGCCCUCCCUUCCCCGCACUAUAUAUAGGGCCAAGGGAGAGGGGGGGGCGCUACCUUGGCCCUUCCUCCAAGGAAGGGUGCGGCUAGGGAGGAGUCCCUCCUCCCCAAGGCACCUAGGAGGUGCCUUCCCCCUUUAGGACUCUUCCUUUCCUUAUCUCUUGGCGCAUGGGCCUCUUGGGGCUGGUGCCCUUGGCCCAUAUAGGCCAAGGCGCACACCCCUACAGCCCAUGUGGCCCCCGGGGCAGGUGGCCCCACCCGGUGGACCCCCGGGACCCUUCCGGUGGUCCCGGUACAAUACCGGUGACCCCGAAACUUGUCCCGAUGGCCGAAAUAGCACUUCCUAUAUAUAAUUCUUUACCUCUGGACCAUUCCGGAACUCCUCGUGACGUCCGGGAUCUCAUACGGGACUCCGAACAACUUUCGGGGUACCGCAUACUAAUAUCUCUAUAACCCUAGCGUCACCGAACCUUAAGUGUGUAGACCCUAUGGGUUCGGGAGACAUGCAGACAUGACCGAGAUGACUCCGGUCAAUAACCAACAGCGGGAUCUGGAUACCCAUGUUGGCUCCCACAUGUUCCACGAUGAUCUCAUCGGAUGAACCACGAUGUCGAGGAUUCGAUCAAUCCCAUAUACAAUUCCCUUUGUCUAUCGGUACGAUACUUGCCCGAGAUUCGAUCGUCGGUAUCCCGAUACCUUGUUCAAUCUCGUUAUCGGCAAGUCUCUUUACUCGUUCCAUAACAUAUCAUCCCGUGAUCAAUUCCUUGAUCACAUUGUGCACAUUAUGAUGAUGUCCUACCGAGUGGGCCCAGAGAUACCUCUCCGUCACACGGAGUGACAAAUCCCAGUCUCGAUUCGUGCCAACCCAACAGACACUUUCGGAGAUACCUGUAGUGUACCUUUAUAGCCUCCCAGUUACGUUGUGACGUUUGGCACACCCAAAGCACUCCUACGGUAUCCGGGAGUUGCACAAUCUCAUGGUCUAAGGAAAUGAUACUUGACAUUAGAAAAGCUUUAGCGAACGAACUACACGAUCUUUGUGCUAGGCUCAGGAUUGGGUCUUGUCCAUCACAUCAUUCUCCUAAUGAUGUGAUCCCAUUAUCAAUGACAUCCAAUGUCCAUGGUCAGGAAACCGUAACCAUCUAUUGACUAACGAGCUAGUUAACUAGAGGCUUACUAGGGACAUUGUGUUGUCUAUAUAUCCACACAUGUAUCUGAGUUUCCUAUCAAUACAAUUCUAGCAUGGAUAAUAAACGAUUAUCAUGAACAAUGAAAUAUAAUAAUAACCAAUUUAUUAUUGCCUCUAGGGCAUAUUUCCAACAGUCUCCCACUUGCACUAGAGUCAAUAAUCUAGUUCACAUCGCCAUGUGAUUAACACUCACAGUCACAUCGCCAUGUGAUUAACACCCAAGAGUUUACUAGAGUCAGAUCAUGUUGCUUGUGAGAGAGGUUUUAGUCAACGGGUCUGCAACAUUCAGAUCCGUAUGUACUUCGCAAAUUUCUAUGUCAUCUUCUAGAUGCGGCUACCACGUUCUAUUUGGAGCUAUUCCAAAUAAUUGUUCUACUAUACGAAUCCAAUUUACUACUCAGAAUAAUCUGGAUUAGUGUCAAAGUUUGCAUCGGCGUAACCCUUUACGACGAACUCUUUUACCACCUCCAUAAUCGAGAAAAUUCCUUAGUCCACUAGUUACUAAGGAUAACUUUGACCGCUGUCCUGUGAUCCAUUCUUGGAUCACUCUUGUACCCCCUGACUGACUCAUGGCAAGGCACACUUCAGGUGCGGCACACAGCAUAGCAUACCGUAUGGAGCCUAUGACAAAAGCAUAGGGGAUGACCUUCGUCCUUUCUCUCUAUUCUGCCGUGGUCGAGCUUUAAGUCUUAACUUCAUACCUUACAACUCAGGCAAGAACUCCUUCUUUGACUGAUCCAUCUUGAACACCUUCAAGAUCAUGUCAAGGUAUGUGCUCAUUUGAAAGUACCAUUAAGCGUUUUGAUCUAUCCUUAUAGAUCUUGAUGCUCAAUGUUCAAGUAGCUUAAUCCAGGCUUUCCAUUGAAAAAAAAAACACUUUCCAAAUAACCCUAUAUGCUUUCCAGAAAUUCUACGUCAUUUCUGAUCAACAAUAUGUCAACAACAUAUAUUCAUCAGAAAUUCUAUAGUGCUCCCACUCACUUCUUUGGAAAUACAAGUUUCUCAUAAACUUUGUAUACACCCAAAAACUUUGAUCAUCUCAUCAAAGCAUACAUUCGAACUCUGAGAUGCUUACUCCAGUCCUUAGAAGGAUAGCUGGAGCUUUGCACACUUGUUAGCAUCUUUCAGGAUUGACAAAACCUUCCGGUUUGUAUCAUAUACAAUCUUUCCUCAAAAAAACAUCGAGGAAAUAAUUUUUUGACAUCCUAUCUGCAAGAUUUCAUAAAUAAUGUAGUAAUCGCUAAUAUAAUUCCAACAGACUCAUAGCAUCGCUACGAGUGAGAAAGUCUCAUCAUAGUCAACUCCUUGAACUUGUCGGAAAACAUCUUAACGACAAGUCGAGCUUUCUUAAUGGUGACAUUUACCAUCAUUGUCCGUCUUCCUUUUAAAAUCCAUCUGUACUCAACAGCCUUACGACCAUCGAGCUGUUCUGUCAAAGUCUACACUUUGUUUCCAUACAUGGAUCCUCUCUCGGAUUUUAUGGCCUCGAGCCAUUUAUCGGAAUACGAGCCCACCAUCGCUUCUCCAUAGCUCGUAGGUUCAUUGUUGUCUAGCAACAUGACUUCCAAGACAGGAUUACGUACCAUUCUGAAGUAGUAUGCAUCCUUGUCAUCCCACGAGGUUUGGUAGUGACUUGAUCUGAAGUUUCAUGAUCACUAUCAUAAGCUUCCACUUCAAUUGGUGUAGGUGCCACAGGAACAACUCCCUGUGCCCUGCCACACACUAGUUGAAGAGACGGUUCAAUAACCUCAUCAAGUCUCCACCAUCCUCCCACUCAAUUCUCGAGACAAACCUUUUCCUCGAGAAAGAACCUGAUUCAAGAAACAAUCUCUUAUUGCUUUCGGAUCUGAGACAGGAGGUAUACCCAGCUGCUUUGGGUGUCCUAUGAAGAUGCAUUUAUCCGCUUUGGGUUCGAGCUUAUCAGACUAAAACUUUUUCACAUAAGCGUCGCAGCCCCAAACUUUUAAGAAAUGACAGCUUAGAUUUCUCUAAACCAUAGUUCAUACGGUGUCAUCUCAUCGGAAUUACGUGGUGCCCUAUUUAAAGUGAAUGUGGUUGUCUCUAACGCCUAACCCAUAAACUAUUGUGGUAAUUCGAUAAGAGACAUCAUGGUAUGCAUCAUAUCCAAUAGGGUGCAGUUAUGAUGUUCGGACACACCAUCACACUAUGGUGUUCUAGGCUGUAUUAGUUGUGAAACGAUUUCCACAAUGUCUUAAUUCUGUGCCAAACUCGUAAUUCAGAUAUUCAUCUCUAUGAUCAUAUCAUAGAUAUUUUAUCCUCUUGUCAUGACGAUCUUUCAACUUCACCCUGAAAUUACUUGAACCUUUCAAUAAUUCAGACUCGUGAUUCAUCAAGUAAAUGUACUCAAUAUCUACUCAAAUCAUUUGUGAAGUAAGAACAUAACGAUAUCCACUACAUGCCUCAGCACUUAUUGGACUGCACACAUCAAAAUGUAGUACUUCCAACAAGUUGCUUUCUAGUUCCAUUUUACUGAAAACGAGGCUUUCAGUCAUCUUGCCCAUGUGGUAUGAUUUGCAUGUCUCAAGUGAUUCAAAAUCAAGUGAGUCCAAACGAUCCAUCUAUAUAGAGUUUCUUCAUGCAUAUCUACCAACAAACAUGGUUCGCAUGUCUCAAUCCUUUCAAAAAUGAGUGAGUCCAAAGAUCCAUCAACAUGGAGCUUCUUCCUGCAUCUUAUACCGAUAUGACUUAAGUGGCAGUGCCACAAGUAGGUGGUACUAUCAUUACUAUCCUAUAUCUUUUGGCAUGAACAUGUGUAUCACUACGAUCGAGAUUCAAUAAACCAUUCAUUUUAGGUGUAAGACCAUUGAAGGUAUUAUUCAAAUAAACAGAGUAACCAUUAUUCUCCUUCAAUGAAUAACCGUAUUGCGAUAGACGUAAUCCAAUCAUGUCUAUGCUCAACGCAAACACCAAAUAACAAUUAUUCAGGUUUUAAUACCAAUCUUGAUGGUAGAGGGAGCGUACGAUAUUUGAUCAACCUUGGAAAUACUUCCAAUACAUAUCGUCAUCUCACCUUUAGCUAGUCUCCGUUUAUUCCGUAGCUUUUAUUUCGAGUUACUAACACUUAGCAACCGAACCGGUAUCUAAUACCCUGGUGCUACUAGGAGUACUAGUAAAGUAAACAUCAACACAACGUAUAUCCAAUAUACUUCUAUCGACCUUGUCUGCCUUCUCAUCUACCAAGUAUCUAGGGUAAUUUUGCUCCAGUGGCUGUUCCUCUUAUUACAGAAGCACUUAGUCUCGGGGUUUGGGUUCAACUUUGGGUUUCUUCACUAGAGCAGCAGCUGAUUUGCCGUUUCAUGAAGUAUCCCUUCUUGCCCUUGCCCUUCUUGAAACUAGUGGUUUCACCAACCAUCAACAAUUGAUGCUCCUUCUUGAUUUCUACUUUUGUGGUGUCAAACAUCGCGAAUAUCUCAAGGAACAUCAUAUAUGUCCCUGAUAUAUUAUAAUUCAUCACGAAGCUCUAGCAGCUUGGUGGUAAUGACUUCGGAGAAACAUCACUAUCUCAUCUGGAAGAUAAACUCCCACUUGAUUCAAGCGAUUGUUGUACUCAGACAAUCUGAGCACAAGCUCAACAAUUGAGCUUUUCUCCCUUAGUUUGCAGGCCAAGAAAAUCGUCGGAGGUCUUAUACCUCUUGACGUGGGCACGAGCCUGAAAUCCCAAUUUCAGCCCUCAAAACAUCUCAUAUGUUUCGCGACGUUUCAAAACGUCUUCGGUGCCUCAACUCUAAACCAUUUAACUGAACUAUCACGUAGUUAUCAAAAUGUGUAUGUCAGAUGUUCGCAACAUCCACAGACGACGUUCGAGGUUCAGCACACUGAGCGGUGCAUUAAGGACAUAAGCCUUCUAUGAAGCAAUGAGGACAAUCCUCAGUUUACGGACCUAGUCCGCAUAAUUGCUACUAUCAACUUUCAACUAAAUUUUCUCUAGGAACAUAUCUAAACAGUAGAACUAAAGCGUGUGCUACGACAUAAUUUGCGAAGACCUUUUGACUAUGUUCAGGAUAAUUAAGUUCAUCUUAUGAACUCCCACUCAGAUAGACAUCCCUCUAGUCAUCUAAGUGAUUACAUGAUCCGAGUCAACUAGGCCGUGUCCGAUCAUCACGUGAGACGGACUAGUCAACAUCGGUGAACAUCUUCAUGUUGAUCGUAUCUUCUAUACGACUCAUGCUCGACCUUUCGGUCUUCUGUGUUCUGAGGCCAUGUCUGUACACAUGCUAGGCUCGUCAAGUCAACCUAAGUGUUUCGCGUGUGUAAAUCUGUCUUACACCCGUUGUAUGUGAACGUUAGAAUCUAUCACACCCGAUCAUCACGUGGUGCUUCGAAACAACGAACUGUCGCAACGGUGCACAGUUAGGGGGAACACUUUCUUGAAAUUUUAACGAGGGAUCAUCUUAUUUACUACCGUCGUUCUAAGCAAAUAAGAUGUAUAAACAUGAUAAACAUCACAUGCAAUCAAAUAAUAGUGACAUGAUAUGGCCAAUAUCAUAUAGCUCCUUUGAUCUCCAUCUUGGGGCUCCAUGAUCAUCUUGUCACCGGCAUGACACCAUGAUCUCCAUCAUCGUGUCUCCAUGAAGUUGCUCGCCAACUAUUACUUCUACUACUACAGCUAACGAUUAGCAAUAAAGUAAAGUAAUUACAUGGCGUUGUUCAAUGACACGCAGGUCAUACAAUAAAUAAAGACAACUCCUAUGGCUCCUGCCGGUUGUCAUACUCAUCGACAUGCAAGUCGUGAUUCCUAUUACAAGAACAUGAUCAAUCUCAUACAUCACAUAUAUCAUUCAUCACAUCCUUUUGGCCAUAUCACAUCACAUGGCAUACCCUGCAAAAACAAGUUAGACGUCCUCUAAUUGUUGUUUGCAUGUUUUACGUGGCUGCUAUGGAUUUCGAGCAAGAAAGUUUCUUACCUACGCAAAACCACAACGUGAUAUGCCAAUUGCUAUUUACCCUUCAUAAGGACCCUUUUCAUCGAAUCCGUUUCGACUAAAGUGGGAGAGACAGACACCCGCCAGCCACCUUAUGCAACUAGUGCAUGUUAGUCGGUGGAACCGGUCUCACGUAAGCGUACGUGUAAGGUUGGUCCGGGCCGCUUCAUCCCACAAUGCCGUCGAAACAAGAUUGGACUAGUAACGGUAAGCAUAUUGAACAAGAUCAACGCCCACAACUACUUUGUGUUCUACUCGUGCAUAGUAACUACGCAUAGACCUAGCUCAUGAUGCCACUGUUGGGGAACGUAGCAGAAAUUCAAAAUUUUCCUACGUGUCACCAAGAUCUAUCUAUGGAGAAACUAGCAACGAGGGGAAGAAGAGUUCAUCUACAUACCCUUGUAGAUCGCUAAGCGGAAGCGUUCAAGAGAACGGGGUUGAUGGAGUCGUACUCGUCGUGAUCCAAAUCACCGAUGAUCCUAGCGCCGAACGGACGGCACCUCCGCGUUCAACACACGUACGGAGCAGGGACGUCUCCUCCUUCUUGAUCCAGCAAGGGGGAAGGAGAGGUUGAUGGAGAUCCAGCAGCACGACGGCGUGGUGGUGGAAGUAGCGGGAUUCCAACAGGGCUUCGCCAAGCGCUGCGGGAGGAGGGAGGUGUGUCACGGGAGGGAGAGGGAGGCGCCAGGGCUCAGGUGCGGCUGCCCUCCCUUCCCCCCACUAUAUAUAGGGCCAAGGGAGAGGGGGGCGCAGCCUUGGCCCUUCCUUCAAGGAAGGGUGCGGCUAGGGAGGAGUCCCUCCUCCCCAAGGCACCUAGGAGGUGCCUUCCCCCUUUAGGACUCUUCCUUUCCUUAUCUCUUGGCGCAUGGGCCUCUUGGGGCUGGUGCCCUUGGCCCAUAUAGGCCAAGGCGCACACCCCUACAGCCCAUGUGCCCCCCCGGGGCAGGUGGCCCCACCUGGUGGACCCCCGGGACCCUUCCGGUGGUCCCGGUACAAUACCGGUGACCCCGAAACUUGUCCCGAUGGCCGAAAUAGCACUUCCUAUAUAUAAUUCUUUACCUCCGGACCAUUUCGGAACUCCUCGUGACGUCCGGGAUCUCAUCCGGGACUCCGAACAACUUUCGGGUUACCGCAUACUAAUAUCUCUAUAACCCUAGCGUCACCGAACCUUAAGUGCGUAGACCCUAUGGGUUCGGGAGACAUGCAGACAUGACCGAGAUGACUCCGGUCAAUAACCAACAGCGGGAUCUGGAUACCCAUGUUGGCUCCCACAUGUUCCACGAUGAUCUCAUCGGAUGAACCAUGAUGUCGAGGAUUCGAUCAAUCCCGUAUACAAUUCCCUUUGUCUAUCGGUACGAUACUUGCCCGAGAUUCGAUCGUCUGUAUCCCGAUACCUUGUUCAAUCUCGUUGCCGGCAAGUCUCUUUACUCGUUCCAUAACACAUCAUCCCGUGAUCAACUCCUUGAUCACAUUGUGCACAUUAUGAUGAUGUCCUACCGAGUGGGCCCAGAGAUACAUCUUCGUCACACGGAGUGACAAAUCCCAGUCUCGAUUCGUGCCAACCCAACAGACACUUUCGGAGAUACCUGUAGUGUACCUUUAUAGCCACCCAGUUACGUUGUGACGUUUGGCACACCCAAAGCACUCCUACGGUAUCCGGGAGUUGCACAAUCUCAUGGUCUAAGGAAAUGAUACUUGACAUUAGAAAAGCUUUAGCGAACGAACUACACGAUCUUUGUGCUAGGCUCAGGAUUGGGUCUUGUCCAUCACAUCAUUCUCCUAAUGAUGUGAUCCCAUUAUCAAUGACAUCCAAUGUCCAUGGUCAGGAAACCGUAACCAUCUAUUGAUCAACGAGCUAGUUAACUAGAGGCUUACUAGGGACAUGGUGUUGUCUAUAUAUCCACACAUGUAUCUGAGUUUCCUAUCAAUACAUUCUAGCAUGGAUAAUAAACGAUUAUCAUGAACAAUGAAAUAUAAUAAUAACCAAUUUAUUAUUGCCUCUAGGGCAUAUUUCCAACAAGGAAUAAAGUAAAGGAAAUAACAUUGCAAUCGUAGCACAGGAUAAAGUAUAUUACAAAAUAACUUGUCGCAGCUCUAACAGACUGUUUUUCGUAACAUGAUUAACAGCGACAAGGAAAGAAGGGAAUAGGCGGCCUAGUCUACGCGAUCGCCCUCGACUCUCUUGAUGCCGCUCACCCUGUCCACGAUAGGUGCGACAAGGGCCUUGAGCUCCUCCAGAUCAGCAUCUGGCGGCAAGCUUCGGAGGACGUUGGUGAGGCGGAGGCCUGGGUUGCGGAAGGCCACCUUCAUCAGCACCUUCUGGAGAGCUCCCACGCAAAUCUUGCCCGACUCGUCGGCAAGCUGCUUUGGGAUUUGCUCCCGGAGUCGCUGAAGCGCCGUCGCCACGCCUUUGAAGAACAGAGUAAGCUUGGCGCUAGGUUGGAGGUUCUCGUCGGAGGAGUACCCGAGAUCCACCAUCCCCAAUUGCGCCAACUCCUUGUCGACAUCUGCGGCCACGUUCACCAGACCCUCCGUCCAGUGCUCCACGUUCUCCGACAAGGUCUUCUGGGCAGCAGCAGCGCUCGCCAGCAGCACCUUGCCGGCCUCGACUUCCUCCUUGGCACCGUCUAGAGAUUUCGUUAGAGCCGCCAGCUUCACUUCGAGAUCAGCGUUGGAAUUCUUGGCAGCGUCAAGUUCCUUGUCCUUCUCGGCAAGAUGGGCCUGCAGCUCCGAGUAGCUGUUGGCGUCCCUCUCCCGCUCAAGCUUGAGCGCGGCAAGCUCGUCGCCGUUCGCCUUAAGACUCGCCUCCAGCUGCACCACCUUCACCUCCAGCUCGUUCUUGGCGGCCUCGGCAGCUGCGGUGGCGUCUUCGGCUUGUUUGAGGGCCCCGCCAACGGCCCGCUCACGCGCGGCAAGCUCUUCCUCGUGGCUGUCGAGGUUGACCUUCCGCUGCGCCAAGUCACCCUCCUGCGAAGACAAUUUCUCCGCGGCAAGCCGUUGGCGCUCUUCGACGUCGGCCUUCUUAAGGAGGAAGGCCUGCUGCGCUUCGGCAAGUUGCUCCCGCUCCUUUGCCAGGGAGCGGAGAGCUUCCUGGUUGGCGCCCCGGAGCUCCUCUGCGCGCUUCUUGAUGUCGGCUCCCGCCUUCGCGACGAGUGCUUCGCGGGACUCCAGCUUGGCUUGCCGGGCGCGGUAGAGCGCCACGAGCUUCCGCAACUGACGCUCCUCUUCGGGUUUGCUACUGCUGCUGCUUGGCGCGUCGACCAGCUUCAGCCCGGCGGAGGCAAGCACCUCUCCGUCAAGCAUCCCUCCCUCGACCGGCGCCCUGGAGCUCGACGCCCAGGGGAGGUUGAUGAAGAUGUCGUCGCCGGCCUUCAGGUAGACGCCAGGCUGGGGCUCUUCGGAGCCUGGCGCGGCAGCAGCGGCGAGGGAGUUGGUGGUCGGAGCAGCGCCUGGCGCUCCUGCAGCCUCCGGGUCGUCAGUACGACCGCCAGACUCCCCGCCCGCUUCUGCGGCAGCAGCCCUGGCGGCCUCCUCACCGGCGUCGGCUGCUUCCUCAGCGGCAAUAGCGUCGUCGGCGGCGACUUCAGUCUCCAUCGGCUCUGCAGUAGAUGGUCUGACAGCCGGAAGAGGGGAGAAGAUUCAAGCAAAAUUCGAGCAAAAUCCAAAAAGAAGAUCAGAAGAUGAAGAAGCCAAGGGGAGUUUGAAACAAGGAAGUUACCUGUGCCAGGGUCUGCAGCGGUGGUCUCCGUCGCCGGGGGAUCGCUGACGCAGUCCCUUGCCGGAGAUCCCUCCCUUGCCGGGGGCUCCUCCCUUGCCGGAGACUCCUCCCUUGCCGGGGGCUCCUCCCUAGCCGGAGUCUCCUCCCCUGCCGGAGAGCGCUCCCUUGCCGGGGACCUCUCCCUUGCCGGAGGACUCUCCCUUGGCGCUUCAGGGGCGGCCUCCAGGCUCUCCUGUUGAGGCUGCUCUGCUCCUACACAAUUCAACAAUUGGAUAUCAGCUAAGCAAUGAAUUUCCACGCGCGCCCGACAGAGGAAAGCAAGAGAAGAUACUUACGCUGGGGGCUGCUCUGGAGAGCAGUUGCCGGGUCCGGCGAGGUUGUCUCGGGCGCGUCCCCUGCCGACGCGGUGGGCUCGUCCUCGAUGACAAUCACCGGGGCCUUGGCUCUCUUUGCUGCCCUCUGAGCCAGAGUCCUGAAAAGGAACAGAUUCAGAGAAAGGCAAGUGAGAAACAAGAAAAGACAAAAACAACAAAAAUUGAAGAACUGCAAGAACAAACAUGAGAAACUUACUCUUCUUCCUCUUCCUCGUUGGAGCUGAACACGGAGAAGUCGAAGUCCGGCUCGCGUCCGGCGCGGGAAGGGGGAGGAGUAGGCUCCCUUGGCCGCUUGGCAGGGGCGGAGGCAGCGGUCCGAGAAGACCCUGCUCCAGUUGUUGCGGCAGCGUGGGGCGCUCCCGCGGCAACAGUGCUUGCCGCGGUGGAGCGUGUCGCGCGGCACAGCGACUGUCGGCGUGCUUGCCGCCUCGCUGCAUCCCCGACCUUGCGGAGAUGCCUUCUUGGUGGAGACGGAGGCGCUGCUGGCGGCGUGCUGUCUGAGGACGAAGUGGAGGAGGAGCCGAUCUCCAAUGAGUCGCUCGCAUCCUCGGCAGGCCCGCUCGGUUCGGCGUCAUGCCCGGCAGCCUGGCUCGGUUUGGCAUCGCGCCCGGCAACCUCCUUCCUGCCGGCAAGCUCCUUCUUGCCGGCAAGAUCUUCUCGCUCGGCACGGUUUGCUGCCUCUGCUGCCGCUGCCUCCUCCAAGGUAAAGCCAAACUCGCCUGCCGCCGUGGCUGCCGCUGCCUCUUCCAGCCUAGUGGCGAUGCGCUUCAACUCCGCCUCGAUGGUGUCAUGGGUGAGGCCGUCCUUCUUGUCGGCACGGAUUGGCACUUCCACCAUGGUGUCGAAGAACUGUUGCACGACGUCGUCUUCUGGCUCCUGCCAAGUUGGCACGAUUCUGUGCGAAUCGCACAGCGGCAUCAUUGCCCUGAUGCGGUCAAGCGCAGAAUUGUUGCAUAGCGGGACGACGCCCUGCGGCAACCUGAAGACUUCUGGGUGGUCAGGAUCAUACUUGAAGAGCUCCUGCAGCAUUGCGUUGAGCUCCAAGACAGUGAAAUUAUAGUUUAGCCCCGGGCGCAGCCUCAUGAUGUCUGCCGCGUUCUUGAACUCCCAAGCAGGCCUUCUCCGUUCUUGCAGGGGGGCGAUGCGGCGGCGAAGGAAGUCUGCGCCAACGGCACCGACGGUGAGUCUGGCAAGCCUGAGGCGUUGGAUCCUGGUGACGGCAAUCCUCAGCCUGCUGUCCUCCGGGGCCACGUCACUCCAGUCGCUGCCGCGUACUGCUGCUACUUGGUGCCGGGCGGUGAACGGCUGCGGGCUCUCCUCGACAAUCCAGCACCAAUCUGCCCUCCACUCCUCCCACUUGCUGCGGAACUCGCCCUCUAAAUAAGAAUCCUUCUUUCCGGUCCUAGAGACCCAGGCGAUUCCGCCGUACAAGGGCUCUCCUCUCUCUACCCGGGGAAUGAAGAAAUGGCGGAAAAGGGCUACAUUAGGGUGGACUCCGACAAAGUUUUCGCAAAGGUGUGCGAAAACUGCCAUGGUAAGGACGGCAUUGGGAGUGAACUCAAGGAGGCAGAGGUUGUAGGUAUUCAUGAUAUCACAGAAGAAUUCGGAAAAGGGCGGGCAGAGCCCGCAGUAGAAGAAGACAGCGAAAAAGGGAUAUCCUUGCGGAGCAGUCUUGUGAGCAGCAGCUGGGAGUACCUUAGUGCUCGGGUGAGCUCGCGUCUCCGUCGACCAGAACAGGUAAUAGUACUCCCUCAGCUCCUUCGUGGUGAGCUUGGGGGGGGGGGAGAUGGCUCACUCCAUCCGCAGCGCCGCAAGCCGCUGCGCCUCGGACGACUUCACGGCUUUCCCCUUGUCGGCUUUCGGAGCCAUGGCGGAAGCAGCNNNNNNNNNNNNNNNNNNNNNNNNNNNNNNNNNNNNNNNNNNNNNNNNNNNNNNNNNNNNNNNNNNNNNNNNNNNNNNNNNNNNNNNNNNNNNNNNNNNNNNNNNNNNNNNNNNNNNNNNNNNNNNNNNNNNNNNNNNNNNNNNNNNNNNNNNNNNNNNNNNNNNNNNNNNNNNNNNNNNNNNNNNNNNNNNNNNNNNNNNNNNNNNNNNNNNNNNNNNNNNNNNNNNNNNNNNNNNNNNNNNNNNNNNNNNNNNNNNNNNNNNNNNNNNNNNNNNNNNGCUCUGUUUGCUUUGGGAAGACGGAGGCAGGGCGGAUAUUUUCAAGAUUGGAACGGAAAGGGGGCGAGUGGGCGCACUACCCCUGCUUCCCCUUGCUUAUAAAGGGGGAGUGGGCGGACGUUCCGCCUUUCCAAAUAAAGCAACCACCCACGAUCUCUCCCACGAUGCCGCGUUCGACGCGUGCCGUGCGGGGAGGGCGCGGUGGAUACGGAGUGAGCUACGGCGUAACCUAGGACGCGCGUACCCGUGCCCUGUUUUGGGCCAGGCCCAACAGCGCUCGGCUCCGUGUAUGGCCCAGGCCCGGGGGCUCCUGUCGGUGUACUAAAGUAGGGGUACCUUUAGUAUCCCGAACUUGUGCACGGGCAGUCGCAACGUCCCGCGACAAGGCUUGCCAGGCGACUGCCAAGAUCCUCCGUGGUUCCUUUGGAGCCAUUCAAGAACAAAGUAUCCAAGCCAAAGAGACAAGGCCCCGGCAAGAGGAGCUUGCCGGGAAGGAGACAAGACCCCGGCAAGAGGAGCUUGCCGGGAAGGCCAACCAAGGCAUCUCAAGGAACUUGCCGCAGCACACCAUGUGUCCCGGCAAGACCCAGUGAGCGACAAACUCCUGGACGCGACAAGGCAAUAACAGCGGCAAGGCGCUUGCCGCGGCAAGCUUCCAUCCUGUACCUGCGCUCCAGCACAUCCACCAACAUGUCGCUCUAGGACCCUUCCAGGCGUACGUGGCGGAAGGCUGUGCAGCCAGAGGUACACGGUGGCGAGCGGCGCUGACAAGAUAGCCAUCGUGGCAAGCAAUGGCGUCCCUGGCGGUCCCUUUCUGUACCGUCUAGGCGACGCAGACAGGCAUUUAAUGCCUUUGUCCCCUGCCGCUUAGGUUAGGUAUGAUAAUACUGUAGUAGGUAGUGGUGCCAACCACCACGUCGUUUCCAUUUUUACCCUCAUCUAUGUUGCCACCUGUCGGUGACCGAUUUUACAUAUAAAAGGAGGCCCAUGCGCAACGUAGGGGGGGGACGAUUCUCUCUCACACUCGGUCUGGCUAGCUGCUGGGGUGUACUGUAGCAAUCAGCGCUCCCGAGCAAGAACUCAAUACAACCACAAAGCAGGGGUAGGAUUUUACGCAUCCAUGCGGCCCGAACCUGGGUAAACCGAUCGUGUUGCUCGUGCGCUUCGCCUCGAUCUGCUCUUCGUGCACUCUCCGCCCCCUGCCGAACCGAAAGGGGCCUCGGUCCGCCGUGGUCCCAUAGGUGUCCGUGGGAUCAGCACCCCCGAC
rnacentral:lncRNA from 1 species